UCCUACGGGAGGCAGCAGUGGGGAAUAUUGGGCAAUGGGGGAAACCCUGACCCAGCAACGCCGCGUGAGGGAAGAAGGUUUUCGGAUUGUAAACCUCUGUCCUUGGUGACGAACACAAUGACGGUAGCCAAGGAGGAAGCCCCGGCUAACUACGUGCCAGCAGCCGCGGUAAUA
rnacentral:rRNA from 1 species